rnacentral:lncRNA from 1 species
UCAACUCCCUCUCCUGAUUCCUUGUCGUCAGGGUCACUGGAACAGUACGACUUGCUUGUGUCUGAGCAUGGC